rnacentral:rRNA from 1 species
AGGGUUUGAUCAUGGCUCAGAACGAACGCUGGCGGCAGGCCUAACACAUGCAAGUCGAGCGCGCCUUUCGAGGUGAGCGGCGGACGGGUUAGUAACGCGUGGGAAUAUACCCUUUUCUACGGAAUAGCCUCUGGAAACGGAGAGUAAUACCGUAUGAGCCCUUCGGGGGAAAGAUUUAUCGGGAAAGGAUUAGCCCGCGUUAGAUUAGGUAGUUGGUGGGGUAAUGGCCUACCAAGCCUACGAUCUAUAGCUGGUUUUAGAGGAUGAUCAGCAACACUGGGACUGAGACACGGCCCAGACUCCUACGGGAGGCAGCAGUGGGGAAUCUUGGACAAUGGGGGCAACCCUGAUCCAGCCAUGCCGCGUGAGUGAUGAAGGCCUUAGGGUCGUAAAGCUCUUUCGCCUGUGAAGAUAAUGACGGUAGCAGGUAAAGAAACCCCGGCUAACUCCGUGCCAGCAGCCGCGGUAAUACGGAGGGGGUUAGCGUUGUUCGGAAUUACUGGGCGUAAAGCGCACGUAGGCGGACUGGAAAGUUGGGGGUGAAAUCCCAGGGCUCAACCCUGGAACUGCCUCCAAAACUAUCAGUCUAGAGUUCGAGAGAGGUGAGUGGAAUUCCGAGUGUAGAGGUGAAAUUCGUAGAUAUUCGGAGGAACACCAGUGGCGAAGGCGGCUCACUGGCUCGAUACUGACGCUGAGGUGCGAAAGUGUGGGGAGCAAACAGGAUUAGAUACCC